GAUGAACGCUGGCGGCGUGCCUAACACAUGCAAGUCGAGCGAUUCUCUUCGGAGAAGAGCGGCGGACGGGUGAGUAACGCGUGGGUAACCUGCCCUGUACACACGGAUAACAUACCGAAAGGUAUGCUAAUACGAGAUAAUAUACUUUUAUCGCAUGGUAGAAGUAUCAAAGCUCCGGCGGUACAGGAUGGACCCGCGUCUGAUUAGCUAGUUGGUAAGGUAACGGCUUACCAAGGCGACGAUCAGUAGCCGACCUGAGAGGGUGAUCGGCCACAUUAGAACUGAGACACGGUCCAAACUCCUACGGGAGGCAGCAGUGGGGAAUAUUGCACAAUGGGCGAAAGCCUGAUGCAGCAACGCCGCGUGAGCGAUGAAGGCC
rnacentral:rRNA from 1 species